UUUCCGUAGGUGAACCUGCGGAAGGAUCAUUAAAGAGUUCAUGCCGGAAAGGGUAGACCUCCCACCCUUGUGUAUUAUUACUUUGUUGCUUUAGCGCUAUGCCUUUAGGCCUCGGGCUUUCAAUCUUGAGCACGUUCGCAAGAGUAUACUAAAACACUUAUUAUUCUUGACUUCCGAGUACUAUUGUUUAGUUAAAACUUUCAACAACGGAUCUCUUGGUUCUG
rnacentral:misc_RNA from 1 species